AUGGCCGCCACGCCGGAGGAGUUCCUGGGGCAGCAGGGUUUCCUUGCGCGCCUCGAGCCGCCGUCCCCGUCCCUCUUCCUCGACCUGCCGCCCACGCCCCGCGACGACGACGGCCACUCCUCCUUCGACGACAUGGUGCUCCCCUACAUCUCGCGCCUGCUCAUGGAGGAGGGCACGGAGGACCACCUCUUCUACCUCUACCCCAACCACCCCGCCGUCCUGCGCGCGCAGCAGCCCUUCGCGCAGAUCCUCGUCGACCUCGCCGACAGCGCCAGCGCCAGCGGCUCCACCUCCUCGCCCUCCUCCUCUUCCGACGCAACUGCCUCCACCACCCCCAGCACCGCAACUGCUUCGGCAUCGGCAUCGGCAUCGCCCGACGACGCACCAGUCCAGAUCUCACGGCCGCCCUACACCGACGUCAACGGCCAUGCCUCCGCCUCCCCGGACAAUCACAGCCCAGGGCUCCUCAACGGCGACGAGAUGGCCAAAAGGCCGAGCUCUGACUUGUUCAAUCACUUGUUGCCCCGCGACGAGGACAUGCUCAACCUGGCCUUCCUCAAAGGCAUGGAGGAGGCUAGCAAGUUCUUGCCGCCCGACAUCACCCUGUCCAUCAACGAGGGGACAGUGGUGGGAGGCGGGAAUGCUGUCAGCCUCAACAACAAGAAGAGGGCCGCACUGGCACUGGAGCCGGAUGUGGGCAGGCCCAGCAAAUUGAUGAUGCCGGAGCAGGAGGAACGCAAGAUGUUUGACGAAAUGAUGUUCCAGGAACACGAGAUAUGCAUGAAGGGGACUCAGAACCUGACCGCCGCAGUGGACGGCGAGCCCGGGAAGAACAGCCGGAAGAACGGCCGGUCGAGAAAGGCCGUGGAUGACAGUGAGAUGGUGGACCUGCACACGCUGCUGCUCAACUGCGCUCAGGCGCUGUCCACGGACAACCGCCAGAGCGCCAUUGAGCUGCUGAAGCGAAUCAGGCAGCAUUCGUCCCCGAAGGGGGAUGCAGGGCAAAGGCUGGCGCAUUAUUUCGCCAAUGGGCUGGAGGCACGGCUGGCGGGUAGGGGGAGCGAGCUUUACCAGUCACUCCUACUAAGCCGCAUCUCGGUAGCCGACUUCCUCAAGGCCAACCAGCUUUACAUGGCGGCUUGCUGCUGCAAGAAGGUGGCGUACAUCUUCGCCGACAAGACCAUCUGCAAUGCUGUGGCAGGUAAGAGACGGUUGCACAUUGUGGACUAUGGUCUGAAUCAAGGGCUCCAGUGGCCGGGUUUGCUACGCAUGCUCGCGGCUAGAGAAGGCGGGCCGCCGGAGGUGAGGAUCACCGGCAUUGACCUCCCUCAACCUGGGUUCCACGGAGCCUACCACAUCGAGGAGACGGGGCACAGGCUCAGCAACUUCGCCCGCGUGUUCGGCGUGCCGUUUAAGUUCCGUGGUAUCCCAGCAAAGCGGGAGACUGUCCGGCCGGAGGACCUGAACAUCGACCGGGACGAGGUGCUUGUGGUGAUCAGUCUUUGUCACUUCAGGCACCUGAUGGACGAAAGCCUCGGCUUUGAUGGUCCAAGCCCUAGGGAUCAGGUCCUCAACAACAUCAGGAAGAUGCGUCCAGAUGUGUUCAUCCAUGGCAUCAUGAAUGGCUCAUACGGUGCUACAUCCUUUCUGACACGGUUCCGCGAGGCACUGUUCCAUUACUCGGCCCAGUUCGACCUGCUGGACACAACCGCCCCCCGGGACAACGAAGGGCGUCUGCUGCUCGAGCGCGACAUCUUCGGCCGGUCUUGCCUGAAUGUCCUAGCAUGUGAAGGUGCGGACCGGGUGGAGCGCCCUGAGACGUACAAGCAGUGGCAGCUCCGGAACCACCGGGCUGGGCUGAGGCAGCUGCCGUUGAAUCCAGUGGUUGUUAAGCUUGUGCUGGACAAGGUCAAGGACAACUACCACAGGAACUUUGUUGUUGAUGCGGAUCAGCGGUGGUUGCUACACAGGUGGAAGGGGCGUGUGCUCUACGCCUGGUCAUCAUGGAUUGCAGCUGAUGCCACCUAG
rnacentral:rRNA from 1 species